GUGCUGCGCCGCGCCGUUUCUCUACCACACGGCGGCCGCGGCCAGGACUGAGCUCGGCUUCGCGGGCACGGGGGUAUUCUCGUGACGUGUGCUGGGGACCAACGGGUACCGGAGCUGUGGAGGGAAGAGCAUCCCCUUCCCCUCCCGCCUCCGCUGGAUAAAACCGUCUAAGCAGCCUUCGUGCCUUCCCCGGGACGCCUUUCCGGGCCGCAGGAGGAGGUAGAGCCCGAGGAACCUCCGGUUUGUAGGCAGCACGGAGAGUUUUCAGUGCAGGGCAGGAGGAACGAGGGACAGCCAGCUCCGUAGCCGCGAUAAACAGCUGCGGUUGGUGCUGAGGCGCUCCUGGCCUCCUCAGCGCGGGAACGAGCUAUUCCUCCUGACUUUCAGGAUCAGUGCAAGUCUCACACGUCUGUAGAAGUAGCACCGAUGGCAGGCAACAUUUAAACUUAAAAACAAACAACAAAAACAGCAACAUAAUCUCCACUUGGAAAUCUGUUAAGUCAGUGUGGACAAGAAUAUUUACAUUUUAGGUACCAGAGGUACUUAAAGCAGCUCUUACUGCACCCGAGAAGAUGGCGGCACUGAGUGAAUGUGAGGAGGCGAUCAAAGUUGAUGAAAUUCACCACUUGUUUCUUUACAAACUGCUUUUCUGACCAAACAUGCAGCUGCAGUACUAUUUCAUUUUGAUGAGCUGGUUCUUAAGGACAUGUUUUUACUGUGGUCAGCUUACUUCCCAGCUGAGCUUUGUACACACAUGCAGCACCUUGCUGUCAGUAUUUUUGAACCCAUUUAUUCUUAAGCAAAUUUUCUGACUAAAGUCGUUGCAUUUUGAUCUAAAUCUUCUACAGAAUGCCAAACCUAAUGAAAUGGACAGCACUGUAGAUUAAGAUGAUUCCUAGCUUCCCCUGCUGACUUUUUCUUAUCACAUUAGGAGUAAUAAUCAUCUUCAAGUGCAUCCAUUGCCUUUACUGCUGUAAACCAUACUGCUGUCAUUGCCUGCAGCAUUUCUGUAGGAGCAGGUCAGUUGCAGCACAGCAUUGUACCCCAGCUGGUGCAGGUUACCAUUAUGAUGGUCUGUUUCCUCACAGCUUCCAAUGUACUAGACAUUUCUGUUUUGGAGUAUGCACAUUUGCACUCCCCUGUCAAAGCCUGCUGAGGACAACUACUACAAGCUUCUCAUAAUCCUGUGGUCCAGCCAACUGUCCUAUACAGGAAUCAGCACAGAAAGAGCAUGAGGUCUGUAUGCGCAUCCACAAAAGGAAGAGCAUGAGGUCAAAAUGCCAUCUCUGAAGGACUGCCAGAAGUUCAAAUGCAAAGUUCAUCUUCUUGACAUACGGACUUCCAUCCAGAUGAUAGUCCAUUAAAAGCUCAAGGGCAAAACAGGAUCUGGAAGACUGUAGUAUAAAGCUCUCAUCUACAUACUCUGAUUCUUUUGCUUGAGAAAAUAGUGUACUGAUAUAGGAGGUUUGAGAUUUUUUGUUGCUUUCUUUUCUUUUUUUCUACAUGCUCUCAAACUGACCUAACUAUACUUGAAAAAUGCUGGGUCAGGACAGGCUCCAUUUAUCCCAGAGUAUGUUUUGAGGACGUUUCCUAUGGCUUGGCAAUAGAAUAACUGGUAUGAUCAGAUAAACAUGGCUAUCUUGGCAUUGCGGGUGGCAUUUUCUUGGCAUUUUCUACAAAGACCACUUUUUUGUUGCUUACAAAGCACUGUUACACUAAACAAUCUCCUCAGUGUCAGUACAAUACAAUUCUAUAGAUUUCUGGGCUGCUGUGAUCUCAAAUUUCUAGGUCUGAUAGACAGACUUUAUGAUCACCUAUAGAACUGCUUCCUCUUUAGAAAUGAUUAUAUGAUGUUCACUAUAUAGCUGGGAAUAGUUAAUCAACAUGAAGCUAGCCUGUUUUGUAUAUUUUGAUAAUUUUCUUUUAAAUUACAUUGCUAAUUCUUUCUGUUAGUAAAAUAUGCAUGUUACUGAAAACCAGUUGUAUCGUAUCUCAGUUAAAUGUAUUUUUUAUUAAACUUCUUGAAGUACUGUUCAUUUAUUAAUACAUAUGAGCAUAACCAGUUUACCAAACCUUGAUCUUUUACACAUCAGGAACCUGUUAUAUCAUUUCUUAACACUAAUAUUUUUUUUGUGUGGCUGCUGUCCAGGCCUACGUGUCAUUUCCACUGACACUUUUUGGCAGUUCAAUAAAUAAUCCAGAUCCUGGGAUACUGUCCAUGCAGGGUCAGAUAUGUAUGUUGUGAUUUAUGCAUGAUUUUGACCUGUAGGAAUGGGUGUCACACUAUUUCUGUGAGCAGAUAGAUAGAACAAAAAAAAAAAAGAGGUAAAAGCUGCUAGCUAUCCAUCAGCAGUUCUCACUAAAUCUUAUGGAACACGUCAAAGUAGUGGACAUGCAGAGUAGCAGAUAAUAAGUAAGGAUGUCAGAGUCUUAUUUAUGAUAUAAGAAAUAUCUGGUAGGAUAGAAAGUAUACAAGGUUACAGGCGGUUUUAAAAUUGAGCUAGUAAUUUAUCCAGGAGCUAGAAAUUUCUGUAAUGACUGCUGACUUUCUGCUCUGGUGUUUAAAGUGAUGCUAAUUGAGCUUGGCAGAUUGGUUAGUUCCACUACAGUUAGUAUUACUGUACUUUUAUGUGGUUUUAUUUUGAUGUGCAAUAUAAUUUGAAUAAAUUAAACUGUGGUUAACCUAAAUUAUUAAUGAUUGCUGCAUGAAUACAAGGACUACAGGCAGGCCCAGAUAACACCUGCAAGGGAUUACUGAGACAAUAGCAAUAAAACAAUUGAUAAACAC